UACGGGGGGGGCAAGCGUUGUUCGGAAUUACUGGGCGUAAAGGGCGCGUAGGCGGCCAACUAAGUCCGACGUGAAAUCCCAAGGCUUAACCUUGGAACUGCGUCGGAUACUGGAUGGCUUGAAUUCGGGAGAGGGAUGCAGAAUUCCAGGUGUAGCGGUGAAAUGCGUAGAUAUCUGGAGGAAUACCGGUGGCGAAGGCGGCAUCCUGGACCGACAUUGACGCUGAUGAGCGAAAGCUAGGGGAGCAAACGGG
rnacentral:rRNA from 1 species